CCUACGGGAGGCAGCAGUGGGGAAUAUUGGACAAUGGGGGCAACCCUGAUCCAGCCAUGCCGCGUGUGUGAAGAAGGCCCUCGGGUUGUAAAGCACUUUCAGCGAGGAAGAACGCCUAGCGGUUAAUACCCGCUAGGAAAGACAUCACUCGCAGAAGAAGCACCGGCUAACUCCGUGCCAGCAGCCGCGGUAAUACGGAGGGUGCAAGCGUUAAUCGGAAUUACUGGGCGUAAAGCGCGCGUAGGUGGCUUGAUAAGCCGGUUGUGAAAGCCCCGGGCUCAACCUGGGAACGGCAUCCGGAACUGUCAAGCUAGAGUGCAGGAGAGGAAGGUAGAAUUCCCGGUGUAGCGGUGAAAUGCGUAGAGAUCGGGAGGAAUACCAGUGGCGAAGGCGGCCUUCUGGACUGACACUGACACUGAGGUGCGAAAGCGUGGGUAGCAAACAGGAUUAGAUGCCCUGGUAGUCCACGCCGUAAACGAUGUCGACCAGCCGUUGGGUGCCUAGCGCACUUUGUGGCGAAGUUAACGCGAUAAGUCGACCGCCUGGGGAGUACGGCCGCAAGGUUAAAACUCAAAUGAAUUGACGGA
rnacentral:rRNA from 1 species